rnacentral:rRNA from 1 species
AUACGUAGGUGGCAAGCGUUAUCCGGAUUUAUUGGGCGUAAAGCGAGCGCAGGCGGUUUUUUAAGUCUGAUGUGAAAGCCCUUGGCUCAACCAAGGAAGUGCAUUGGAAACUGGAGAACUUGAGUGCAGAAGAGGACAGUGGAACUCCAUGUGUAGCGGUGAAAUGCGUAGAUAUAUGGAAGAACACCAGUGGCGAAGGCGGCUGUCUGGUCUGUAACUGACGCUGAGGCUCGAAAGCAUGGGUAGCGAACAGGAUUAGAUACCCUGGUAGUCCAUGCCGUAAACGAUGAAUGCUAGGUGUUGGAGGGUUUCCGCCCUUCAGUGCCGCAGCUAACGCAUUAAGUACCCCGCCUGGGGAGUACGGCCGCAAGGCUAAA